GAAGGGGAGGAGGAAGGAAAGAGCCGCUCCAUCGCUCCUCCCACGCCGGGGCCGCAGAGAUGGGCUCUCUCCCGGCUCGGUACUUAGUGUUCUUUCAGUACUUUGGCACUAAAUAUAGUGGGGUUAUGCACACUUCGAAUGAUCAGUCAGUGGUUGGAGUCCAGAAUUAUUUGGAGAAGGCAGCGCAGAACCUAAAACCCAUUGUUCCCAUCAAGUUCCUCAUCUCCAGCCGAACAGAUACUGGUGUCCAUGCGCUCUGCAACUCUGCUCACUUUGACAUCCAGAGGGAACCAGGGAAGCCAGCGUUCAAUGAGAAGGAGCUCCUCUAUGGCCUUAAUUACCACCUGAGGUCUGAGCCAAUCCGCAUUUUGAAUGUCUAUCGAGUGGCCAAUAGCUUCCACGCACGCUUCUCUGCACUGUCAAGAACCUACAUUUAUCGGCUGUUGAUGGGCUGCACUCAUUACUCUCAGAUGCCGGUGUUCGAAAGGGAUCUCUGCUGGGCUCCUGCAGGAAGGUCCCUGAACGUGCCUGCCAUGCAGGAUGCAGCACGGUUCCUGCUGGGAACCCACGACUUCAGCACCUUUCGCUCUCUUAACUCUGAAACACCUUUGCGGUCUCCAGUCAGGACCAUCCUUCAGGUGGACAUCCAACCCUCUCCUGGCUUCCUGUCCCACCACUAUGAGCACAGGAGACUGGAGUUUUGGGAGUUGAAGUUCAGAGGCAGAUCGUUUCUUUACCGACAGGUCCGAAGAAUGGUUGGGGCUUUAGUUGCGGUUGGCCAGGGCAAGUUAACACCUCGGCAUAUAAAGGAGUUACUGGAGAUAAAAGAUCCACGGGCUUUUCCACCAAAUGCCAUGGCUCCUCCAUCUGGACUCUUUCUCAAAUCAGUGGAAUACGAUGAAGCAGAUUUGGACCCUACAGUUGCCCCAGGAGAAUAGCAGCCCUGUGGGAUAUGACCGUGCCUGAAAGGACUGUUGUGGAUAUGAGAUGGAGAGAGCCAGGUUACAGGAGAGAGGAUGAAACUAUUGACUUCUGAAGUUCCCAGAAGAAACAAUACCUGGUUUAAACACUGGUACCACCAUAAUUAAUCUCCCUUUUGUCCCUGAGAGAAGAAGAAUUGCAGAGAGCAC